rnacentral:misc_RNA from 1 species
AACGCACAUUGCGCCCGCCAGCAUUCUGGCGGGCAUGCCUGUCCGAGCGUCAUUUCAACCCUCGAGCCCCCCCCCUCGCCUCGCGGCGGGGGGCGCGCUCGGUGUUGGGGACCGGCCCCGCCCCAGGGCGCCGCCCCCGAAAUCCAGUGGCGGUCACGCCGCAGCCUCCCCUGCGCAGUAGCUUGCACGCUCGCACCGGAGAGCGGCGCGGCCACGCCGUGAAACCACCACGACCCCCGAAAGGUUGACCUCGGAUCAGGUAGGAAUACCCGCUGAACUUAA